CUUGCGUGCGGGUACGGGGGGCGGGGACUGUCACGGUGCUUUUUCUCCGAGUUGUUCAACGCUGCUGACUGCCCAGAAGUGGCUUCGUAGCUGCUCCGGUCAGUGGCGAGGUUAGGUUCAGUCGCUGGUUGUGCGGCGUGACCGUGCUGUCUUCACGUUGAGCUCUUUCCGUCUUGUUUAGCCUUCAGUCUGGAGCUUGUGGUUCCACACCGUCAGUCGCACCGAUUCGUGUAAAGUGCAGAGAGAGGUCUCUGGGAUUGUUUGAUAGAGAGGUAACGUGGGUCAUGCAGUUUGGAGAUGCGUAUCGUUACGUCUGACAUUACAGAUGCUGUUUGGGUACAGCUGCUAUCUCUGAGGGUUUGCGGGAGUUUUUGAUGAGAGAGGUAUUUUAUGAGUGGGUUUUGCGAGCCAUAGUACAAAGAGCCUUAGCCUUGAUGUGCUUAUAUACCUGGGCGUGUGUCUUUUCUAAGCUUUUGGGUCGCUGGGUGUUAACGGUGUAUAACUGUGGAACCAUAUGUGUAAAGGACUGCUUCCCAGCCAUCCUUCAACAAGUGUUUUCUGAGCACCUAUCACGUACCUGAGUGCAUCUGGGAGUUUCUGACAGGACAAAACUGACAAAGUUUCUCCUUUCCUAAGGUGCUCCGUAAACACAUAGAGCAAGCACAUCAAAGGUGGCAGGUGCAAUGUAAACGGAAAAGGCUGGAUCAGGGGAAGGGGCAUGAGGUGAGGAUGUUUCUGUUUUACUCGGGGUAACAAAGGCAAAAUGAUUACCACAAUAAGGUUAGUUAGCACUGUAUCCGCUCACAUCAUUAUGUUUUUAAAAAGUUUUUUGGUGAUAACAUUUCAGUUCUUCUCUCAUUCUUUUCUAUUCCUUUCUUUUAUUUCUUGCUCUGUUUCUUUGUGUUUUAGUUCAUUUAUUUGUUUGUUUUGUUUUGUUUUGGGCUGCUCCUGAAGCAAGCGGACGUUCCUGGGCCAGGGCUCGACCCCACUCCACAGCAGCCACCCGAGCCAUGGCAGUGAAAACACUGGAUCCUUAACUCACUGCGCCACUUAAUUUUCAGUACAUAAUACAAUAUUAAGUAUCGUCACCAUGCUCUACGUUAGAUCCCCAUAACUUAUUCAUCUUAUAGCUAGAAGUUUGUACCCUUUUACCACCAUUUCCCCCAGCCCCUCGCAAGCACCCUUCCAAAAUCUACUUCUGGUAGAGCUUCCAUGCCUGCCUGCUUACAUCUCUCAUAAGCGUCCUAUCUUAAUAAAUCUAUUUCUUGCCUAUCAAAGAUAAAUAAAUAAACUCUAUUUCUGUAACCUAGACGUUUUCAGAUUUCACAUGUAAGAGAGAACAUGCAUUAUUUGUCUUUCUCUCUGACUUAUUUCACUCACAUAUAUAUGCAUAUAUAUAACGUAGCAGGCUGGAGCCGAUAAUCCUUAGAAACUGUAGCUUGUUGACCUUACCUUGCAUCCGGGAACUUGGAUUUCAGGUGGUUUCCCACCGUUCCCUCCCCGAGAAGGGUAGGUUCCUCUUCCGAAACUGUCCAAACAAUAUGUUCGAUGCUAAACGCCUGCUUGCCUCCCGGGACCCUGGAAUCCUGGUACGUGCUGGGCAGAGAGUGUGCGAGGGACCAGUCCCCAGUUAAAAGCUUGGGCCCUGGGUUUCUCAUGAGCUUCUCUGGCAGACAGUGUUUGAAGGAGCUGUCAUGGCUCGUUGCUGGAGGGACAGAUUGUGUGACUCUAGGGAGAAAGGACUCUCGAAAGCGUACGCUGGUUUCCUCUGGAUGAUGCCCAGUGCACCACUCCCCCUGGCUGUUUGUCUUUCUAUCCUUUUGCAGUACUGAUUCCUAGCCAUGGGGAUGACUGUAUGCUGGGUCCUGUGAGCCCUCCUAGGGAUUCACCAAAAGCAAGAGUGGUUUUGGACGUCUGAAACAGUGGGGGCAGCCAUGAGAUUCACCAGUGAGCUCCUGCCUCAUUGAUAUGCAGUGAAAGCCUCGUUUGAAGGGUGGACGAAGCGGUAGGAUGAUGAUCCUUUCAUGCUCGGUGACUAUGGAUGUACCCAUGCUAUAGAGCAGCACUGAGCCACUGACGGGUGUGAGAGGUAACCGUUCCUUACUAAGUUAAAAGGAAAAGAUCCAGAAGUUCCCUGGUUGCUCAGCGGGUUAAGGCUCUGGUGGUGUCACUGCUGUGCCUCUGGAUACAGCUGCGGCAAGGGUUUAAUCCCUGCCUGGGAGAUUCCAUGUGCAAUGCGUGUGGCCAAAAAGAGGACCAAGAAAUCCCGCAUCAGAGGGUUAGCUCACUGCAUCCCUGGGCUGCUUUGCUGAGCUGCCUGAUGUGAGGGGGUACCUGUCAUGAGCACCGGACUUUGGUGUUUGUUAUUUCCUCUAGGCCCAGGCGGGGGGGGGGGGGGGGGGGGUGUGUGUCCAGGCCUUGGAAAGGUGACCUUCGUGUCAGCCAAAAAUGUUAAAAGUUUGACUUGCUCUCUCCUACAACUGGGAGGACACAAAUCUGUUUCUGGGACGGAGAAAGCUUCAGAUAAACCCGAGCGAGGCAAGAAGGGAAAAAAGCUCUCCAGCCUUUUUUUCAACGUGGCUGCUUCUGUGGCAGCUUCUCCCAGCAUUCCCACCAGAUCUGCCUUGGCCAGGUUCAUUCAACAGCCCAUCCACUGGCUACAUGCUUGCAACACCCACGCUGAGCACUGGCCGCUUGAUGCUUAGGAAACAUUCAGUACAGUUGCUCCAAGCAUCGUGACCCAGGUUCAACUGUGAGGGCAGAACUGCGGGCAGUGGAGGUACCAGAGUGACACACACGUGUGUAGUAGGCAUUGUGGCCGCGUGUAUUAGGAGUUUCCGGAAAGAGGCGGGUAUGACAGAUGCAGUCCUCCUCCCCUCACAGGGAAGAGACUGACUCCACAGAUGUCCUCGUUACCCCAUUCUCCUGGGUCAUUUUUACGCAGAAAUAACUGGCUCAAGAAGAGCCGCCUUUUAUUAACAAUAGACCUGGAGUCAGGGUCCUUUGUUCAUUGAGGAAACAGUCUCAGCACCGCCAAGACACUACAUCUCAGCCUCCUGGGCCUAGUUUGGGGAUGUAGGGAUGAUGUGGGCUGGAACCUGCAAGCAGAUGACAGCCACCUGUUGUGUGAGUGAUGGCGGGAUUUAAGUCCUAGAAACCUAGGAACACAGAGGAGGGCACUGACCCCUGCCAAAGUAUCAGGGGGAGGGGUUGUGGGUGUUUGGUCAAGACACACUUCUCAAGGGUGGGGAGGUUCCUGAGGGAGGCACCGUGAUCUUCCAGUUUACAGACACACAGGCUGAAGGGCACCGACAGCAAAACCAGUGCAGCCAUUUUCCAUUCUCAGUCUUUGGGCUCCAGACCACCAUGGCGGCUGGGUCACCUCCCGAGAGGCCAUGCAGCCACUGAAAGCACCUCCUCUGCCUCUGCUCGCCUCUCAAUUCCUAGUAUCUGCUAAACAGAGGGAGACGGGUCGAGUCCUAACUGGGCCGUAACCGGGCCUGGGGGGUGAUGGCAAAGCCUCUCUGGCAUGGUGCAGUGCCUCCCUGCAGGGAAAGUCAACGUCCUGCCUGCCUGUUGGCUCUGAGGCAGGCCCUUCCCACCAGUGGACUCCGGGUCUCUGGGCUUCAGAGCAGCUCCCCUGAAGGCGACACAGAGAGGGUCUGAGAGCCGUUCACGGUGCCUUUGCCCUGCUGGGUGCCUGGACGUCACCGGUGGACACGGUACUGGGACAACAGUGACUGUCCCAUCAUGGAACAAGACACACGCUUCAUUUCAUACUUAGGUGUGUUCUGCUUAGAGGAGUUGUAGUGAAUGAAGGGGAUCCUCACAGCUGAGUGUGUAGCUGGUAGAACCUACACACUCUCUCUCCCGGACCUUCUAGGAACUGGAUCGUCUGGGUGCCUCCAGGGGUUGACAGCACCCUGUGCAGACACCUGAGGAGCUGCA
rnacentral:lncRNA from 1 species